UGUCUCCUCCUACUCCUUCGGUGGUCCCCUCCAGUCUCAAGUGUAUGCUGAAGAACGAUUGUAACUCUAGUCGGAACUACCCCCAGUUCAAGAUUCACAUAUUCAACGACCUGCCAGACACCUCCACUUGGAUGUUUAAUAAGCAUUUCAAACAUCCCAUUGUCCCACUGAUCUCCUAAUCCCCAAGCCUGCCAUUUUUGGUAACUGACACCUCCCUCCCAGUGGCUCGGGUCAAAAACCUUUCGAUUUUUUUUCUUCAUUCUUCUCUUUCUUUCGUACCCCACAUUCAUCAGUGAUUAUGCUUACCUUUGCCUGAAAAUUACUUCGAGCACACGAGCUCUUCUUCCCACCUCCACUGCCACCCCCAAGCCAUUGCCAUCCCUUGCUUAGAAUAUUGCAGUCGCCUCCUUUUCAUCGGUCUCUACUUCCGUCCUUGUGCCUCUUUCAUUAGCCCUUGACGUACAAGCCUAUUAAAGUCAGAUCAUGUCACUCCUCGACUCCACCCUCUCCCCCAUUAUGACUUCCAUGCCAGAGUCCAAGCCCAGGUCCUUAUGGUGGUCAGCUGAAUAAUACUCCAUGGGAUGAACACACCACAGUUUGUUCGUUCACUUGUCUAUUGAUGGGUGCUUGGAUUGUUUCCACCUUUUGGAACGAAUGAUGCCGCCAUAAACAUCGGCAUGCCCGUAUCUGUUGAAGUCCCCGUUUCCAAUCCGUGCGGGUAUAUACCUGGGCAUGGAAUUGUUGGCUCAUACGGUAAUUCCACGCUUGACUUUUUGAGGAACUCCCAAACUGUUUUCCACGGCAGCUGCACCCUUGUGCACUCCCACCAACGGUGCACAAGCUUCCCGAUUUCUUCACGUCCUUGCCAACACGUGUUAUCUUUUGCUUUUUGGAGAGUAACUGCCUCUUGUUUUUCCUUGAGGGAGUCAACCGUCCUCCGGUCUUGGUGCCUUGCUCUUCCUGUUCCUUUUCCUUGGAACAUUCUCCCACCAAUAUGCGUGGCUUGCUCCCCCAUCUCCUUCAAGUCUUUGCUCAAAGGCCUUCACUAUUAAAAUUUCGCCUCCGUUACCAGAGUGCCCUAGCCACUUUCCCCUGCUGUAAUGUUUUUUUCCAGGCCCGGAAAGUUACAACUUUCUAACUUACAGGAUAAUUUACUAUUCCUAUACUACCUGCCCUCCCCCACGUUUGUCACUGCUCUACCCCAGUGCCGAGAACAGUGCCUGAUUCUUAAAGGAACUACUGCAAGAAAUAACCGUGAAAUUAAUGAGUGAUGUUAGAGCUGCGUCACCGUAAAGGGCGAGCUGGACUAAGCUAGGCGGAGAGGGAGAGGGGAAGGGAGAGGUUUUCUGUGUUGAGGGAACACAUGGGUUGCUAUGGAUCGGGCCUGCUUAAUGUCACGGAUGAGGGUCUUCUUGAGGCAGAGACCCCAUAGCUGUGGAGCACAUCACUGGAUUUUCUCUGCUCACUGUCCGUUAACACCUGUUUCCCCUGCAAGCACCGCAAUUUGCUUACAGGCUGACGAGCGACCACUAGAGUCUGCUGAGUUAUGACGAUGUGGAUGUCAACAGCCCAGCAUCCCCCAGCAGUCGCGUGAGAGGAGAAAGUCUGCCACCUGUGCCUGGAUAUAGGCGUAUACGAUUGUCAUCUCGACCCUACUGUUGUUACAGUUAUUUCAGUACUAAGUGCAGGAACUUCGAGCUCGAGGCUCUUACGUGGUGCUGCUGCCUCCUGCUGCUCCAGAGGGCUGGAAAGUCCCCUCCCCGUCUCGGUCAGCAAUGGGAUUUGUCCCGGACCACGGUGGUGCCUGCUCCGUGCCGUCCCCGUGCUCUCUCGGGGAACCUAGAGCAUCAGAGGAGAUGCAUGAAAUCAUGACAAUUUGCAUCACGGUUGGAGUAAAUCGAGGGGUGCUGGCGACGAGUGCUGGGAAGUAGUCCUCCUUUCUCUGACACCCUUCGCUUCCAGCUCCGCCAGGCAGCAGCUGGCUCGGGGACUCGGUCAGACUUCAAGGCAAGUAGAAAAAGAGGAAGAAAGGGAGGCGAGACAGAUCUUUCUGGUCUGUUUUCUAAGUCCAAACCCUCCUGGAGGGGCUUUCUGGGCCCUAAAGGUGCUGUGUGGGCUUCUGUAGAUGGAGAAGGAACGUUUCCUAUGGUGUCCCAAAGGCAGCCCUCUUCUUGGCCCCCCAACUUGCCCCGGGCAUCAGAGAACAUGGAUGGGAGCAUAGAAGCAAAUCUGAGUGAGUUAUUUUGCAGCAACUCACAGCCACCCCUACUUCUGGCCUGACCCAUUUUCUCCAACUACAAUGUGGCUCUAACAAUCCCUGCUCGGCUCUCCAUCUUGCCUAGAGGCUACUAGAGUUCAUUAGAUUAAAAAAAAAAAAAAUCUAUAAACUACUUUGAGCACCUUGGAGGUAAGUGCUCUAUAAGUACAAUGUAAUAAUAAUAAUGCUACAAUAAUUACCUUGAUUAAUUUAUGCAUAAGACAAAAAAAGAUUCUUAAUUAAGAGACAUUCCAACAGCGUGAACACAGGCCCCAUAUAUUGGAAAGUAAUACCACCAGCAGGGAUUCUAACUCUGGGCCAGAAUGACAAGGAUAAUGAGCCACUGACCCUCACUCUGAGCGUCCUCCGCAUGUUUUGGGUUCUUGGUGACGACUAUAGGCUCUGUGGCCAGCAGACUGGAAAGGCAGAAGAUGAAAGAGGGGAGUUUGGGUGUUAAAAUUACGUAAGACACAAGCUAACUUAACCUCAUCGCACUGCAAGUAAUUAAAAACCAAAGGUAAGCUAGUCAGUGGCAUCAGUAAAAUUCAUGUUUUUCUUUAGAUGUAGUCAAGAUUUAUGGAUCGCCUAUUGACUGGCCCUCCCUUCCCUAGAUGGCAGCUGACAUCUGUCCUGUGACACUCUCUCCUCUUCUAGUGUAACUUUCUGCAGUCUUCAAGGCCCUGUUGGGUGACAGAAGAAUUGAUUCUAGCUAAAGUGUUAAUGGCUAACAACAGCAGUGUUCCCCCUGGGUACUUACUCUGCGUUUGCACUGAAGUUUUCAAUGUUUUUAUUUGUAGAAACGACUAGACAUUAUGACCCUCGACUUAGGCUGCUGGGGAUAAAAGCGUUAGAGCAUGGAGUUCAUGGCGUCCUUCGAAUUAUAGGGCCAAGCCAUUUGGCACAGGAGGCCGUUCUACAGGUGGUGUUAGAGGCUGAGAGAUAGAAUGGGCCUACAGCUUUCUAUCAGCAGACCACAUUAGCCCGUGGCUCACGCUUGCCCCUCGUGUUUUCACAGCAAGUCUGUGAAAUGGAUCUUGAUUUCAGAACCAGAUCUUGAUUUCAGAAUCAAAUCCCCCCCAAUAUCUGCUCCAGGUCCUGUCUUUGAUCUACUGACAUCGUUACCUUGUGCUCACUCUCAGCUGGGAACCGUACCACUGCAUAUGAAUUAUCCCGGCCAGCAUGGAAGCUUAUCAUGAGACAAGCCCGCCCAGGUAUGCCUGGUUUUCUGCAGUGCGGUGUCGUGGAAAGAGCCAUCUACAAGUUGCAUCUUUGUAACCUGAGUUUUAUCUGCACGACUCAGAGAAGACAGCUAAAGGAACCCUUUGGUAUGCAGCGAGGAUGGAAAAGCACAUGAAUUAACACGCGGGUGUGCAAGAGCCAGGCACAGAGUCUGCUGGUGUGGAACAUACGCCUGGCGGAGAAAGCACCAUGGCCUGGGAACCAAGUCACCUGGACUCGUGUCCCACCUCUGACACUGACUGAGCCCUCUCUGGGCCUCUGCCAAAUAAAAGGGCAGCACGAUCAAUUUCUAGGUCUUAGUUCCCAUUCUGACAUUAUAGGACUCUAUGCAUAUCAUGUACCCCAAAUGGCCCUCACCCACACGAGAUGUAUGACCCUGCCUGAGGCAGUUUGCACGGAACAGAAAUCAGAACCGUAAGCCACAGAGCGGAAGCUCCAAUGGUAGGAUUUCCAGCGUUAUCAUUACGGGAAGAAUGGGGACAAUGUUGAGGACUGAGGGCGAGGUCUGCCAGGUCACAGGUGGUGCUUGAUCUACACAAGGUCAAGGUGUUCAGUCUGGGCCCAUGGGUACCAGCAAGCCCCCGGCACCCGGCUUGGGCUCCAGGUAUAAACUUAGGGGGUCUGUGGGCUCACUGUGGGCUGACUAUUUAGUUUUAAUGCCCAAAACCAAUUUUAAAUAAAAUAAAGGAACCCCCUAAAUAUUCUAGAUGGGGCUUUCUUUUUUUUAGAGGGACAUUUCAAGACUAGUUUCACACAGGUUUAGCCGAAAGGGAAAUUAAACUCUACAUUUAAAUGGGAGAUUACGCACAAAGGAAUCCAUUACUUUCAAUAUUUCUCAGCAGGAGGGCUCAGAGUUAUUUAAAUAAGUUUAGAUAUUAAACCUAAAGUAGCCAUUAAAGCAAUGUGGAUUUGUUUGUCUGUUUUUUUUUUUCCCCCAGAAAUCUUUUUUUCCAGCUGACUGAAAAAAUCCAUUGCUUAACCAAUGGAGGAUAUUUUAAUGCAUUAAAAAAAAAUCCAGGGACUUUUUAAUAUAGCACUUCCUUCGAAUUUUUAAGUAGCAUCUUACGGUAAGUGUCAUCCUUUGGACAGAUUAACCAAAGCGCAUUCCCUUCCCCGCCCCCACCCUGGGCAGAACAGCGCUAAUAUAAACACCGACAUUAAACCAUAUUGGCUAUGGAAGAGGCUUUGAUUGUCAUUGAGAUUAUUUUAAAAGUUAUUUAGGCCCCCCUGUUCCAUCUCUGCAAACCACUGAGAAAACGUUGCGCCGGGUUUCUCUUUGCGACAUUUCUUUGGGGAUUCAUAAAUAUUGAUUGUACCGUAAAAAAAUUGAUGGAAUCUUGAAACAGACUGCAGUUGAGGCAGCUGGGGAAUUUACUCAAUUUUUCUCAAUCGCUGCAGUCUAUAAAAAGAGGAGAUUUUGCAAA